GAUGAACGCUGGCGGCGUGCCUAAUACAUGCAAGUCGAGCGAACAGACGAGGCGCUUGCUCCUCUGACGUUAGCGGCGGACGGGUGAGUAACACGUGGAUAACCUACCUAUAAGACUGGGAUAACUUCGGGAAACCGGAGCUAAUACCGGAUAAUAUAUUGAACCGCGUGGUUCAAUAGUGAAAGACGGUUUUGCUGUCACUUAUAGAUGGAUCCGCGCCGCAUUAGCUAGUUGGUAAGGUCACGGCUUACCACGGCAACGAUGCGUAGCCGACCUGAGAGGGGGAUCGGCCACACUGGAACUGGGACACGGUCCAGACUCCUACGGGAGGGAGCAGUAGGGAAUCUUCGGCAAUGGGCGAAAGCUUGACGGAGCAACGCCGCGUGAGUGAUGAAGGUCUUCGGAUCGUAAAACUCUGUUAUUAGGGAAGAACAAAUGUGUAAGUAACUAUGCACGUCUUGACGGUACCUAAUCAGAAAGCCACGGCUAACUACGUG
rnacentral:rRNA from 1 species